rnacentral:tRNA from 1 species
UAGCUCAGUUGGUAGAGCAUUGUGUGUGCAACGCCAGGGUUGUGGGUUCGAUUCCCAC